UACAGAGACUGCAAGCGUUAUUCGGAUUCACUGGGCGUAAAGCGUGCGCAGGCGGUUGUGUAAGACAGAUGUGAAAUCCCCGGGCUCAACCUGGGAACUGCAUUUGUGACUGCACAGCUGGAGUGCGGCAGAGGGGGAUGGAAUUCCGCGUGUAGCAGUGAAAUGCGUAGAUAUGCGGAGGAACACCGAUGGCGAAGGCAAUCCCCUGGGCCUGCACUGACGCUCAUGCACGAAAGCGUGGGGAGCAAACGGG
rnacentral:rRNA from 1 species